AGAGUUUGAUCCUGGCUCAGGGUGAACGCUGGCGGCGUGCAUUAGGCAUGCAAGUGGAACGGUCCGAUUUAAUCGGACAGUCGCGAACGGCUGAGUAACGGGUAGGAAUCUACCCCUUGGUGGGGAAUACCUCCGCGAAAGCGGGGUUAAUACCGCAUAAACUUGUGCUUAGCACAAGAAAAGAGCGUAACUGCUCGCCGAGGGAGGAGCCUGCCUCCCAUCAGCUUGUUGGUAGGGUAACGGCCUACCAAGGCUACGACGGGUAGGGGGCGUGAGAGCGUGGCCCCCCAGAAUGGCACUGAGACACGGGCCAUACACCUACGGGUGGCAGCAACUAGGAAUCGUGCGCAAUGGGCGAAAGCCUGACGCCGCGACGCCGCGUGUGGGAUGACGGCCUUCGGGUUGUAAACCACUUUUGCUCCGAUAGAAAUAUCGGGGAGAAUAAGCACUCGCUAACUACGUGCCAGCAGCUGCGGUAAUACGUAGAGUGCAAGCGUUGCCCGGAGUUAUUGGGCGUAAAGGGUUCCGCAGGCGUCUCGUCGCAUCUUCUUUCAAAGCCUGGAGCUUAACUCCAGAAAGGGAGAAGAGAUGGACGGGAUUGAAAUAUUUCGGGGCUACUGGAACUAUCGGUGUAGGGGUGAAAUCCGUUGAUAUCGAUAGGAACUCCAAGGGCGAAGGCGGGUAGCUAGAAAUUAUUUGACGCUCAUGGACGAAAGCUAGGGUAGCGAAAGGGAUUAGAGACCCCUGUAGUCCUAGCCGUAAACGAUGCUCGCUAGCUGAUGGUUCCAUCCAUUUUCUGUACGAAUCAUAAAUCUCUGGUUUGCUUACAGGUAAUGGAUGGGAUCAUCGGCGUAAGCUAACGCGUGAAGCGAGCCGCCUGGGGAGUACGGCCGCAAGGCUAAAACUCAAAGGAAUUGACGGGGACCCGCACAACCAGUGGAUUAUGUGGUUUAAUUCGAAACGAACCGAAGAACCUUACCCAGACUUGACAUCCUACUGUUAAUGCCUCCUAGAGAUAGGUUGGAAUUUCGAAAUUUUUCGAAUGCGGUAGGACAGGUGUUGCAUGGCCGUCGUCAGCUCGUGCCGUAGGGUGUUCCCUUAAGUGGGGUAACGAGCGCAACCCCUGUCCCGUGUUAAAUGUUCACGGGAGACUGGUCCGAUUUAAUCGGACAGGAAGUGGGGACGACGUCAGGUCAGCAUGGCCCUUAUGUCUGGGGCGACACACAUAAUACAAUGAAGCCGACAAUGGGUUGCCAAGCGGUAACGCGGAGCUAAUCCCAAAAACGGCUUCUCAGUGGGGAUUGAGGGCUGCAACUCGCCCUCAUGAACGCGGAAUUGGUAGUAAUCGGAGAUUAGCUAAGCUCCGGUGAAUACGUUCUCGGGUCUUGUACACACCGCCCGUCAAGUCAGCAAAGUUGGGGGCAGCCGAAUUCCGCCAGGGGCGGGAGAAGCUGAAUCCAGCGAUGAGGAUUAAGUCGUAACAAGGUAACC
rnacentral:rRNA from 1 species